rnacentral:rRNA from 1 species
AGAGUUUGAUCCUGGCUCAGGACGAACGCUGGCGGCGUGCUUAACACAUGCAAGUCGAACGGGGUGUUUAUUUCGGUAAACACCAAGUGGCGAACGGGUGAGUAACGCGUAAGCAAUCUACCUUCAAGAUGGGGACAACACUUCGAAAGGGGUGCUAAUACCGAAUGAAUGUAAGAGUAUCGCAUGAGACACUUACUAAAGGAGGCCUCUGACAUAAGCUUCCGCUUGAAGAUGAGCUUGCGUCUGAUUAGCUAGUUGGUGAGGGUAAAGGCCCACCAAGGCGACGAUCAGUAGCCGGUCUGAGAGGAUGAACGGCCACAUUGGGACUGAGACACGGCCCAGACUCCUACGGGAGGCAGCAGUGGGGAAUCUUCCGCAAUGGGCGAAAGCCUGACGGAGCAACGCCGCGUGAACGAUGAAGGUCUUAGGAUCGUAAAGUUCUGUUGUUAGGGACGAAGGAUAAGGAUUAUAAUACAGUCUUUGUUUGACGGUACCUAACGAGGAAGCCACGGCUAACUACGUGCCAGCAGCCGCGGUAAUACGUAGGCGGCAAGCGUUGUCCGGAAUUAUUGGGCGUAAAGGGAGCGCAGGCGGGAAACUAAGCGGAUCUUAAAAGUGCGGGGCUCAACCCCGUGAUGGGGUCCGAACUGGUUUUCUUGAGUGCAGGAGAGGAAAGCGGAAUUCCCAGUGUAGCGGUGAAAUGCGUAGAUAUUGGGAAGAACACCAGUGGCGAAGGCGGCUUUCUGGACUGUAACUGACGCUGAGGCUCGAAAGCUAGGGUAGCGAACGGGAUUAGAUACCCCGGUAGUCCUAGCCGUAAACGAUGGAUACUAGGUGUAGGAGGUAUCGACCCCUUCUGUGCCGGAGUUAACGCAAUAAGUACCCCGCCUGGGGAGUACGACCGCAAGGUUGAAACUCAAAGGAAUUGACGGGGGCCC